UACAGAGGGUGCAAGCGUUGUCCGGAAUCACUGGGCGUAAAGGGCGCGUAGGCGGCCUGAUAAGUAGGGGGCGAAAUCCUGUGGCUCAACUGCAGGGCUGCCUCCUAGACUGUCGGGCUUGAGCACGGUAGAGGCAGAUGGAAUUCCCGGUGUAGCGGUGGAAUGCGUAGAGAUCGGGAAGAACAUCGGUGGCGAAGGCGGUCUGCUGGGCCGUUGCUGACGCUGAGGCGCGAAAGCCAGGGGAGCAAACGGG
rnacentral:rRNA from 1 species